AACUUUUUCUUGAGUUAUUAGCAUUUAUACACAAAGUAUGCCCGUGGACUUUGGUAUUAAUAAGUUUCAGCCAAUGAUGGCACAGCAAGAAACUGUACAGAUAGUUGCAUUGUAUGAAUCCAAUCCUGUAUUAACGCAUUACUUCAGCAGAGUAUCAGAGAUGUCUCCUGACUUAAGUCAUGCACCAUUUCUCACUGUUAAAGCAGCCAACUCUCACAUUCUGUAUGUGCGGUAGUGGUGUUUUAUCACCACCUUUGUUCCACAAAUGAGGAAAAUAGAAAUGAAAGCAAAGUCCUUGUUGGAGGGACUCUAUCUCCUAGAAAGGCACUGAUUCAUUACCAAAAAAUAUAGCAUUACUAUGUUAAUGUUUUUCCUUAACUCAGAGUCUAAUUUUCAGUGCUUUGCUAUCGAUCAGUGGCUCAUUGUUGUGUAGGAUAUGUGUUAAAUGGGCUAUAAUUAUAUGGAUACCAGCAGCCGUCACUGAGCCAACAGGUUGCACUGAAUCUCAUCUUGUGAUCUGCCGACUUCAGAAAGGUGAUGAUUCAGGUAUGGAGCUUGAUGCUCAGGCUAUUUCUGUGCAUUAGAGUGAUAGAUGUACCUUUGCAGAAAGAAACUCUUCUUCAUCCAACCCUCAUCCAGAAGACCUGUCACUCUCUUCCAAAUAUAAGAAAGCAGCAAAUCCCUCCAGCUGUAUGAUAGAGGACAGGAGUGUGUCAUGGUCCAGUCAUCCCUGUCCUAGCCUUCACCUCUAGAAGACAAAGAAGGAGCAGCCACCACCUGUUGCAUCAGGUGGUGAGACGAGGCAAACCUACCUCCCUGCCUGCCUGGCCAUCCUCAGCCCUUCCCUCUUCUCCACCUCAGCCCUUGCUCACCCACUGCUUGCCUCCACCUGGGGCUGGCUGGCUCACCGGCACAGCCCUUUAUAUUCCCCCUAAGAAACCACCAACAUUCUGCCUACUUUGACACAGCCAACACAAUUUUGGGUUCCAGGAGCACUGAAUGCACAUUUUAUUCCCAGUUGUAAUGCCUAGAAUCUGUGGACAGGCAGCUCACCCAGGCUGCAUGGAACAGGGCCCAGCUGCCAGCACCACGCCCUGCAACAUCAUUUCAGGGGCUGUGCAGUCUCAUCUGACCUGGAGCUGCUAGACAAGAGCAGGGCAGCGCUGACACAAAUGGGAUACCAAAACCUUGCCACAGAAACCCAAUAGAAGAGAUUUUAAUAACAAGUUGGAUUUUGGGAGUUUCAUGCCAUUUAGCAGUACCUGGAAGCUACUUCAAAUUUUAAAACGUUUGUCUUUUUCCUCACAGAACUCACAAGUACAUAUAACCAUAACUUUUCUUAAAAAUCACAUUAUUACUUUAUAGGCAAAGACAGAUCUGACAGCUCUUUCAGCUCUUUAAUUACUUUAAUGCAUUCAGUUGGUCUUAUGCUUCUAGAGCCAUUAGAGCAAUGUAAAUAGUAUAGAAGUUUAUCAUUAAUUCUAAUGUACUUCAGAUCUGGGAACCAGGGAGCAUGACAUUGCUAGUUUUUAGGAACAUUCUAUCAGAGGUGUAUCUGUCGUAUGAAGAUAUUUCCAUUUCAGCUUACUUUGAUUUAAUAAUUUUAUACAUUUAUUCAGUGUGUCACAGAAUGACAUGAAAAUGUGUUAAUCCACAGAGUCUGUUCCUAGUCUCUUAAUUAUUCAGUUUUAUUGUUGAUGCCUGAAAUCUGCAUAAAUUCAUCUUGCAGUAUAAAUCUGCUAUACUCAGUAAUGCCCUCAGAAUUACUUCUGAUCUUUAAAUGUUUUCAGCUUGAAGAAACCUUGGCAAUCUCUUUCCAUAAAUCAAGCUUUAAAAAUCUUCUUCAUUAAAAUGAAAGUUUUUAAGGAUUUAUUUCCUGAAGGAUUCCUAUUUCCAACAUCCAUAGCUCUUAGGACAAUGCUUUAUACUCAGAUCUAUGCACAUGGGUUUUGGUUUGAGAAUGUUGUAACCUUGAUACCCCCAUUACAGUCUCAUUGGUAGACCUUUUGCCAGAGGAGAGAUUAUGCUGUUCAAGUGGCUGAGAGGUGUGCAUAAUGAUUGCUAAAGCUGAUGAGAUAUGACACCAAAACCCCACAAGCCAAAUCUUUUACCAGAGAAUCUCAUGCCUUGAAGAGAGAUAGAGAGAACUUUUUGUGUUAAAAAGCUUUGCUGGCUUCUCAGAAAUGUUUCCUUGGAGAUUUAGGAGCUGUUCUGUUUAAAGGUAUAAGAGGUCUGUUGUCCAAUUAUCAGUACCCUUAUCUAUUCAAUUUGAUUUUGCUCCUGAGCUUGAUACCUCUUUCUCUCUUCAUCCUCAAAUAGAGUUUUAAAAUAAAAAUAAUAAAUAAUUUAAGGAGAGGAGAGGAGAGGAGAGGAGAGGAGAGGAGAGGAGAGGAGAGGAGAGGAGAGGAGAGGAGAGGAGAGGAGAGGAGAGGAGAGGAGAGGAAAAAAGAAAAGAAAUAAAAAAAGAAAUAGGAAAAAAAAAAAAGAAGAAGAAAGAGCUAAGAACAGAUAUAUUGCCCACUCUCCCAAAACAUAUCUAACAGCGUUUCACCCCUUUGGCUCUCCAUUCUUCUGUUCUUUUAUAUCUAACUUCCCUUCCAAAACCAGUAACUUCUAAAUACACUUUUGUGUCCAACAGGGCAUGCUCAAUUUGUAAAGUUUCUCCCUUGUUUAUGCAUUUGUUGGAUUACUUAACUUUGCCUUCAGUCUCCUUCAAAAGAGAAGAAGAUAAAAGUCAACAGCAAUAGUAGUAGGUUGGAAGUUGAUUUUUACAUGAAAACAGCAAGCUUAAGUAAGGAUAUGACUAAAAUAAAAGAAGUAGAUAUCAUCAAAACAUGUUGAACUGGUUCUGGUAAUCUUGUUUCUCAUUGUUUCCACACCUUACCUGUGAUUUUACAUUCUCUUCACUGUAGACUUGUAGCCAUAGCACGAGAGGAUACCACCCGGUGUUUCCCUUCCAGAACAGUUCCUAAAGUCUCAUUUUGCCAUUCUGGGACAUCGUUGUUCAGUGUGGAAAGAAAGAAAAAAGGCACGAAUUACAGAGAAACCUUCCAUCCUUUCUGUAUUUUGUCCCAUUUUAUUCUGUUUUUCUACUUCCCUUUCUUAUGUCUUAUGUCUAUUCUUGCCUUCUAUUUGAUCCUGUGAUUUCACAGAGGCAGAAAAGGCAAGAGAAAAUAAUCAAGUGUCUUCUGCCACCAUUGCUGUGAAAACAUUGUCUGCAGGAGAGAAAGGGGAAAAUGUACCUGCAAAGGAAUUUAUUUGUAGAAUAUUUUUCCUGUAUGGAAUCUUUCUUCUACCUCAGACAACAAAAAUAUUUACCCAUAAAAGUAACAGCUGUCCAGCCGAGGGUUAUGGAGCCCCACAUCAAAAGGUUUUAAGGAGAGAGGGGACAUUUUUUUUCUUGGAGCUAUUCAACUCACUGAAAUAGGCCAGCUCAUUGUGACUAGAUAAACUGAAGCACUUGCAGAUUUACAGAUCUUUUACUAAAAUCACUUUCCCAAGCACAAGCUAACAUCAAGGCAUCAUGUUUUCAAACUCGUUCCAGUAUCAAAGUGUUUCCCAACAUGACUAUUAUGCUGUUUUCCAGAUGGGAUGGAGUUCUGUGAAAUCUCUGUUCUUUUUAUGCUGCUAAUCUUGCCUCAUGACUCAGAGACUGAAAGCCCUAAAUACUGUUGUUAAUCCACUGCAGUCUCUUUUCAGUCUUAGAAGUGCCUUUCCUCUAAUGAAACAAGUUAUAUGCUUUGCAGAAGAGAUCCCAUGAUUAUUUUUGCUUCUAAGCCUUCACUUGCAUAAUAGAAAAGGAGUUAGAUAUGCAGAGUUUGGGUAAGCAAAGUCCCUCCCAGCAAAGAUCAGAUUCAUGACCACCUGAGGAACUUGAACACCUACAAGUCUGUGGGUCCUGCUUAGAUGCAUUCCAGAGUCCUGAGGGAAUUAGCUGAUGCAGUUGCCAAGCCACUCUCGAUUAUAUUCAAAAACUUGUGGUGAUCAGGUGAAGUCACUGGUGACUGGAAAAAAGGCAACAUUACACUUAUUUUCAAGAAGACUAAAAAGGAUGACCCCAAGAACUACCGACCGGUCAGUCUCUCCUCUGUGCCAGGGAAGAUAACGGAGCAGAUCCUCCUGGAAGCUAUGCCAGGGCAAAUCCUGCUUGACCAACCUAGUGGCCUUUUCUGAUGGUGUAACUGCAUCAAUAGACAAGGGAAGCACCACUAUUAUCAUCUAUCUGGAUUUCAGUAAAGCCUUUGACAUGGUACCCAGGGAUUCCCUGUCCCUGGAGACUUUCAAGACGAGACUGAACCAGGCUCUGGGCAACCUGACCUAGCUGUGGUGUUCCUGUUCGCUACCAGGGGAGCUGGACUAGAUGGGCUUUAAAUGUCCAUUCCAACUCUAAUAAUUCUAUAGUUCUAUGAUUCUAUGUAUGUCACCUGCGUGUGACACUUGAGUCAAGCCCUCUGAGUGUGUAUGUGGUAUUGAUAUGUACUGUGUUAGUACAGUGGCUUUGCUCUAACAUCUCUAGGAGACAAAAAGAUAUCUGCUGCUCUACUAAGCCUUGCAUGGAGAAUAAUUAAGCGAAUGGUAAGCUUUGUGGGUGUUAGUUAAAACUUAAAUUUACAAUGACUGUGCAUGUAAUGAUGUAUAGUAUACUGCAAACCAGCUUUUAUGAUUAAUGUGCUCAAAAGAUAAUUAUCUACUGUGCAUUUUCUAUGUGCCUGUGAUUUAUAGACCUCACUGAAGAUGACAAAAAUACAUUCUGUGCCUACUCAAGUGUGCUGGGAAUAGCUAUCCUGUACCUUUUGAUAAGACGUGUUUGGACUUGCACACACAAACAUACAUGCACACAAACGAGCAUUAUACAUCUGAGGAUGGAUCUGGCUUUAUUUUACUUCCCUAAUUCAAUACUAAUAUUCAAUACUUCCCUAAUUCACUACAGUUGUCAUCUGUAUCUUCAUUUUUUUGUAAUUCAAAUAGUGAAAAGGAGCAACUGUGUAAAUAAUGAGUGACAGAAGUAACUUUCGCAUUUUUAAAAGCAUGUGCUAAAGGAAAGAGUCUAUUGCAUACUUAAUUCCUGUUCAAGGAUAUUAGAAAACAGAGCAACAAAACAUUUCCUUUUUAUUCUCUCUCUCUCACUCUCUUUUUUUUUUUUUUUUUUUUUUAAGACUGGGAAAUAAAAACAUUGAAUUUCUGCACUAGCUGGUGAGAUGGUGGGAUGCUAAUAAAAAGUCUGAAUAUCUAUUGACCCUAUGUUCCUAGACCUGCAAAUAGUCUGUAUGUAAUAGAACUGCACUAUAAAAGCUAUUUUUUGUUAAGGAAAACCUUUUUGUGUAUGCGUAAAUAAUUUAAAUUAGUAGCAGUUUCUUAGGAUAAUGAAUAUUCAUGUAUUUGGUAGCACUAAAGUUGGACAAAAUAAAAUAUCCAUUUGAUUCCUUAAAACAUAUGAUCAAGGGGCAUAUGAUCUAUUGGUUACACAGUCCAAAUGAGUUUCUAAGAUAUUUUAGGUUGUAGAAGAAGUUCAGCCCUGCGAAUUUACAGUGGAUGGAGACUUAUAAAUAGGAAAUACAUAAGACUUCGGAGCAACCAAAGUAAGACAAGU
rnacentral:lncRNA from 1 species